GUCCAGUGUGCGGCGCGAGAGUGCUGCAACCGGCCAUGGGGGAAAGCUGGAACCGUCGGUGGGGCGCGCUGGAACCAGCGACAACAAGAGCUGGACGACAGGCUUCAUGCAGCCGCGGCGAGGCUCCUGGCUGCGGUGAGCCACUGUUGCAACUGUGGCGAGGCUCCUGGAAGCUGCGUCCAGCGUGCGACGGCGUGAGAAUGCUACAAACGGUCAUGGAGAAGCUGGAACCGUCGGGCGGCCGUGCUAGAACCGGCGACAAUAGGAGCUGGACGAGACGGCGCAACGCGCGACGACGCCAAGAAUGCUCAAACCGGCAACCAUGUUUGUUGGAACUUGGAACCGACAACACGGCGUGCUGCAACCGGACAAGUCGAAAGCUGCAACCAACACCGCGUGCCGGCAAAAGCUGGAACCAGCGACCAGAAAAGCUUCAACCAGCGGCGUGUUUUGCUACAAUGGAUGCGGCGACAAAUGCUAUAGAAACCGAUUAGGCAUCGAAGCUGCAUCCAACGGCAUUUUUUGCUACAACAGGCAUGUGUUUUUGCUGGAACCAUCGAUGAGCGGGGGCGAGCGCCGGGAGCAACAUCAAAUGAUGCAAAAUGCUACGACCUGCAUCAGGUUAUGCUAGAACCACAAAAAUCUCCACUGGCGAGGCAUGGCGGCUGCCACCGUGGGGGCAGCAUGGAGGCACGGUUGCUGUGCAGCCAUUUUUCCUGAGACAACAACCACCUGAUGGACUAGCAGUGUGACGGAUGGAUGGAAGUGAUCAUCGCACGCGCUUUCGAGCUCGCCGGUAGUGGGGUUGAGCGCAGUGAUCACGAGGGCAUGCAAGGGGUAGCGGGGCUGAGCGCAAUGACCACGAGGGCAUGCGAGGGGUGAGCGAGCGGCCCCGGAGGGAGAAAGGAAGACGCGAGACAGGGCCGGGAACUGGUUGAGUUGGCUCAUCUGGCUGUCAGUCAUCGAAUCAGAGGGGGCGGUAAUCUGCGCCGGCGCACCGGCCCAACUGCUGGGCUGGUCGAACGCCAGCCGCCCAAUGCAGCGAGCAGGGACCGUCCGAUCUGGCACUCAGCCCCAACUCGUUCUUCUUCCUCUGAUCAAAGCUUCCAGAAAAAUCGCCAUCCACCCCGCAGCCAAUCUUCCUCCUCCCUGCCCCUGUGCGUGCGCUCCC
rnacentral:rRNA from 1 species